rnacentral:lncRNA from 1 species
GAGUAGCGCGCGAGAACAAUCCCAUGAUGGGUGACGCACUGGGAAGUUCUUGUGUAAGUUCCCAUAAACAAAAACUGUGAGGGCGUAGUUGGGGCUUAAAACGGACAAUAUCGUGCUACGGUGGUGGAAAGGGCCCGGGAUGUGGUGGACCCAGGCGGGGAUGUGACAUAUAUCCACCACUUUUUCGGCCCCGUAUAGAGCCCAUCAUUUGGGAUGCUCCUAGUAUUGCUCAAACUAAGGAAUUUCAAAACGACGGAAAUAGAAAUGCCGAAUUCUAUUUUCUAAAAUUUGUGAAUUUUAUUGUUUUAUUAAUCUAAAAGAACAAUGAAAUUUGAAUACGUAAAUUUUUAAUUUUAAACUUUCACUCAUAGAAAUUUUAGAAAUGACACAUAUUUACAUGGAAUUCAAACUUCAGAAUUGGAGGUCUACCUAACAAAUUUCAAUUUUAGUUUCACGCGAAAAUUCUAAAUUUUUAUAUUUAUAAAUCCAAAUAAAAAAAUUGGUGCAUAUCAAACUUUUUCAAAAUUCUAAGUUUACAUCCCUUGUCCAAACAUAAUAUAAAACAUACCUAAUAGGUUUUAGAAAACUGAACUUCAUCGUAAAAAAAAAAAACACUUAAAAUACUAUUUUGAAUAAAGAAAACAGAACAGACACGAAUUUAAUCAAGCGGGCUAAAAUAAUGUGGGAGCUUCGCUGGUCACUCAAAUUUCCUCUCCCUCUAGUUUAAAUUAUCUCAUCGUUUUUCUUUAUAAUUUUUGAGAGAAUACACUAUGUAAGCAUACAAAAUCGAAGAAAUAUUCAUCUCCAUUAGUCCAUUGAUUAAUAGGAAUCGUAUUAAGGAAGAAACUCAUGAUUUAUUUAUAAAUAAGCAGUUUUUGGUUUGGGCCUUUGUGCUUGCUUUGUUGUUUUAAUUGAGCUCAAGUUAAAAAACUAAACUAAUAUUACCAA